rnacentral:rRNA from 1 species
AUUGAACGCUGGCGGCAGGCUUAACACAUGCAAGUCGAGCGGAGUGAUGGUGCUUGCACUAUCACUUAGCGGCGGACGGGUGAGUAAUGCUUAGGAAUCUGCCUAUUAGUGGGGGACAACAUCUCGAAAGGGAUGCUAAUACCGCAUACGUCCUACGGGAGAAAGCAGGGGAUCACUUGUGACCUUGCGCUAAUAGAUGAGCCUAAGCCGGAUUAGCUAGUUGGUGGGGUAAAGGCCUACCAAGGCGACGAUCUGUAGCGGGUCUGAGAGGAUGAUCCGCCACGCUGGGACUGAGACACGGCCCAGACUCCUACGGGAGGCAGCAGUGGGGAAUAUUGGACAAUGGGGGGAACCCUGAUCCAGCCAUGCCGCGUGUGUGAAGAAGGCCUUAUGGUUGUAAAGCACUUUAAGCGAGGAGGAGGCUCUUUUGGUUAAUACCCAAGAUGAGUGGACGUUACUCGCAGAAUAAGCACCGGCUAACUCUGUGCCAGCCGCCGCAGUAA